rnacentral:rRNA from 1 species
UACGUAGGGGGCUAGCGUUAUCCGGAUUUACUGGGCGUAAAGGGUGCGUAGGCGGUCUUUCAAGUCAGAAGUGAAAGGCUACGGCUCAACCGCAGUAAGCUCUUGAAACUGUAAGACUUGAGUGCAGGAGAGGAGAGUGGAAUUUCUAGUGUAGCGGUGAAAUGCGUAGAUAUUAGGAGGAACACCAGUUGCGAAGGCGGCUCUCUGGACUGUAACCGACGCUGAGGCACGAAAGCGUGGGGAGCAAACAGGAUUAGAUACCCUGGUAGU